rnacentral:rRNA from 1 species
CCUACGGGAGGCAGCAGUAGGGAAUAUUGCACAAUGGGCGCAAGCCUGAUGCAGCCAUGCCGCGUGUAUGAAGAAGGCCUUCGGGUUGUAAAGUACUUUCAGCGAGGAGGAAGGUGUUGUGGUUAAUAACCGCAGCAAUUGACGUUACUCGCAGAAGAAGCACCGGCUAACUCCGUGCCAGCAGCCGCGGUAAU